AACAGUUCCCAGAGUCGUCUUUGUUUGCUCACUGAACAGUACGUAUGAAGUUUCUGGUGCGCGCGGGUGCGAGCAGAGAGAGAGAGAGAGAAUCCAGAGAAAUAUAAUGUACAGUGAAAGCUAAAACAUCAGACUGAUCCAGACACUGAAGAAAUUGAUGUGACUGUAAUCUGGCCAAAAUGAUGCCUCUUUUAUCUUGAUCAUCUCCAGGUGUAAAUUCCUCGCUAAUCCUCUUGCAGCUUGUUACACACACACAAAAGCUGACAACUAUAAUGAAGUAACCUACUAUAAUAAAGCUGCAGAACGACACGGAGACUCUGAGGACAUCAACACAGAAAAUGAAGGCUCCAAAGAGAUGUCUGUCCAGAUAAGGGUGCAUCAACGUUACCUUUGCUGACAAGUACAGUAUAUGCUUUACAAUGUAAAACCUAACAGUUAACUUAAGUCAAACCAUUUAAGGAAACAGGUUGCUUUAAACCAUUUAAGUUUUAAAACACAUACAUUUGAGUACUGUGAACAUCACAAGUGGAUGACAUUAAUGCCAGGUGUAAACGGUGUUCAAAACGCUUCGAGCUCAUCUACUUUUGACCACUUUCGACCACAUUCAGAGGUAGUCGAAACCCAAGACAUAAUUCCAAAACAAAGCUCUGCAAUUGAAUCUACAUUGCAAAAAUCACUUUCUAACUUAGUAUUUUUAUCUUGUUUUCAGUAGAAAAACUAAAAAUUCUUAAAUCAAGAUGUAUUUUCUUGAUGAGCAAAAUUACCUAAGAAAAAUGUCUAGUUUUUAGACAAAAAUAUACAAUUUAAGUAGAUUUGUGCCUAAAACAAGCAAAACUAUCUGACAAUGGGGUCAGAAAAUUUAGCUUGAAUUAAGUUUUUAAGAAAAAAGAAAAACUUAUUUUAUGGUUUCUUUUCUCACACCAUUGGCAGAUAUUUUUGCUUGUUUUAAGCAUUCAAAUUCACAAAUGUAUUAUUAUUAU